UGGCCUAGCAAGGAUUCUAAUGCUUAGCUUCUGUUUCCAUAUCAAGUUUAUGUCAUAAUUACUUUUUUAAACUGUUGGAUUUAUUUUGGAAAUUAGGGUGUGUUCAUUUCUGUGUCGCAUUCAUGGUUCCAAAUUGAUUUGGGUUUGGUGUUCAUUUAUCUUUGCAUGUGUUGCAGUGAAGGAGGAAUGGGUGGAGGGACGAGCAAGAUGGCAACGUGAUUAUUAGGCUAUCUGAGAGCACCUAGAGGGGGGGUGAAUAGGUGAUCCUGUGAAACUUAAACUUAUCGCCACAAAACUUGGUUAAACGUUAGCACAGUUAAUGCCAAGUGGCUAGAGAUGAGUCUCAACAAAACACAAUACCACAAAAGAUCAACACAGAGAAGACACAGUGGUUUAUCCCGUGGUUCGGCCAAGUACAAAACUUGCCUACUCCACGUUGUGGCGUCCCAACGGACGAGAGUUGCACUCAACUCCUCUCAAGUGAUCCAAUGAUCAACUUGAAUACCACAGUGUUAUGCUUUUCCUUUCAAUAUCCCGUUUGCGAGGAUCUCCACAACUUGGAGUCUCUCGCCCUUACACUUGAGAUUCACAAUGAAAUACGGAGUAAGGGAGGGAAGCAACACACACAAUCCACAGCAAAACGCGCACACACACGGCCAAGAAUCGAGCUCAAAAGACUAUCUCAAAGUUCUCACUAGAACGGAGCUCGAAUCACUGCAAAUGACAAACGGAUGCGCAAAGACUGAGUGUGGAUGAUCAAGAAUGCUCUAAGGUUGCUUGGUGUACUCCUCCAUGCGCCUAGGGGUCCCUUUUAUAGCCCCAAGGCAGCUAGGAGCCGUUGAGAACAAAUCUGGAAGGCCAUCCUUGCCUUCUGUCGUCGGGCGCACCGGACAGUCCGGUGCACACCGGACAGUCCGGUGCACACCGGACACUGUCUGGUGCCCGAUUUCUUUCCUUAAAUGGCGCAGCCGACCGUUGCAGAUCUGGGAGCCGUUGGCGCACCGGACAGUCCGGUGCACACCGGACAGUCCGGUGCCCCCUUCCGACCGUUGGCUCGGCCACGUGUCGCGCACGGAUUCCGCGGCCGACCGUUGGCCCGGCCGACCGUUGGCUCACCGGACAGUCGGUGCACACCGGACAGUCCGGUGAAUUUUAGCCAUACGCCGUCGGCGAUUCCCGAGAGCGACCACUUCGCUCGAGGCAGCCUGGCGCACCGGACACUGUCCGGUGCACCACCGGACACUGUCCGGUGCUCCAGACCGAAACAGCCUCUUGGCUGAACACAGCCAACUCCCCUCUUUUCUUCUUCUUCCUGUUUCUGAUACUUAGACAAGUAUAUUAGUACACAAAACAAUGUACUAAGACAUGGAAACAUACCUUUGCUCCUGAUUUGCACUUUGUCCAUUCAUGGGCAUAGAUUUACAUUUAAGCAUUGUGUUGGCACUCAAUCACCAAAAUACUUAGAAAUGGCCCAAGGGCACAUUUCCUUUCAAUCUCCCCUUUUUGGUGAUUUAUGCCAACACAACAUAAAGCAACUAGAACAAGUGCAAUAUCACUUCAAAUAAAACUCAAUUUAUUUUGAUUCAGUUUUGGCAUAUAUGGAUCAUCCUUUGCCACCACUUGGUUUGUUUUUGCAAAUCAAACUCAAAUCCUAUCUCUAAGUCAAAUCCACUUGUAGAGACUAAAGAGAGGUUUUCCAAAGAAAAUUGAUUCAAUAUUCCAAAAACUCCCCCUAUUUCCCAUAAUCAAUACUUCUCCCCACAAGAAGUCAACUUUUGACAAGAUAGACACAAAAGAGAUUUGACAAACCAAAAGCUCUAUUCUACUGUUUUCAAAAUUCUCAAGUGGUAGCUGAUCAACAAAAGAGAUUUGACAAACCAAAAGCUCUAUUCUACUGUUUCAAAUCUCUCAAGUGGUAGCUGAUCCAUUUAUCACUUUGGCCUUUAUUUUCUCCCCCUUUGGCAUCAAGCACCAAAACGGGAUCAAUCUUGGCCCUUUAACCCCAUUGCCUCACCAAAAUCUUCAAUUAAGAGCAAAUAGGCAAUAAGAGUAUAAAGAUGAACUUGGAAAGUUACUCUUUUCAUCGGAGUGCAGUGGAAGUCUUUCACGGUCCAAGUCCACCUUUCCCUUUCAAACCUUCUUUGAGACUAAAACAAUCAAACUCAAACAAAUGGUUAGUCUCAAGGGUCAAGUUGCAACACGUCUCCCCCUAAACUGUGCAUCACUUUGCAUCGGACUUGUGAGGUCCAGGGAGUGUGUGUACAACUUGAGCACCAAAUAAACAACAAAUGCAAAAAGGAACAUGAUCAAGGGCAUAAACACAUGUAUGCUACAAUUCAAUCCAAGUUCCGCGAAUCUAAGACAUUAAGCUCACUACGCAACCUGCAAAAGGUCUUCUCAUCUAGAGGCUUGGUAAAGAUAUCGGCUAGCUGGUUCUCGGUGCUAACAUGAAACACUUCGAUAUCUCCCUUUUGCUGAUGGUCUCUCAAAAAGUGAUGCCGGAUGUCUAUGUGCUUUGUGCGGCUGUGUUCAACAGGAUUUUCCGCCAUGCGGAUAGCACUCUCAUUAUCACAUAGGAGUGGGACUUUGCUCAGAUUGUAGCCAAAGUCCCGGAGGGUUUGCCUCAUCCAAAGUAGUUGCGCGCAACACUGUCCUGCGGCAACAUACUCGGCCUCAGCGGUGGAUAGGGCAACGGAAGUUUGUUUCUUAGAGUUCCACGAUACCAGGGACCUUCCUAAGAAUUGGCACGUCCCUGAUGUACUCUUCCUAUCGACCUUACAUCCAGCAUAGUCGGAAUCUGAGUAUCCAACCAAGUCAAAGGUAGACCCCUUUGGAUACCAGAGCCCGAAGCAAGGCGUAGCAACCAAAUAUCUAAGAAUUCGCUUCACCGCCACUAAGUGACAUUCCUUAGGAUCGGAUUGAAAUCUAGCACACAUGCAUACGCUAAGCAUAUAUCCGGUCUACUAGCACAUAAAUAAGUAAAGACCCUAUCAUUGACCGGUAUGCUUUUUGAUCAACGGACUUACCUCCUUUGUUGAGGUCGUGUGUCCGUCGGUCCCCAUCGGAGUCUUUGCGGGCUUGGCGUCCUUCAUCCCAAACCGCUUUAGCAGAUCUUGCGUGUACUUCGUUUAGGAGAUGAAGGUGCCGUCCUUGAGUUGCUUCACUUGGAACCCAAGGAAUAGUUCAACUCGCCCAUCAUCGACAUCUCGAAUUUCUGCGUCAUCACCCUGCUAAACUCUUCACAAGACUUUUGGUUAGUAGAACCAAAUAUUAUGUCAUCGACAUAAAUUUGGCACACAAACAAAUCACCAUCACAUGUCUUAGUAAAGAGAGUUGGAUCGGCUUUCCCAACCUUGAAAGCAUUAACAAUUAGAAAGUCUCUAAGGCAUUCAUACCAUGCUCUUGGGGCUUGCUUAAGUCCAUAGAGCGCCUUAGGAGCUUACACACGUGGUCGGGGUACCGUUCAUCCUCGAGCCAGGGGUUGCUCCACGUACACCUCCUCCUUGAUCGGCCCGUUGAGGAAAGCGCUCUUCACAUCCAUUUGGUACAACCUGAAAGAAUGGUGAGCGCAUAUGCUAGCAAGAUACGAAUUGAUUCUAGCCUAGCCACAGGAGCAAACGUCUCCUCAAAGUCCAAACCUGCGACUUGGGCAUAACCUUUUGCCACAAGUCGAGCCUUGUUCCUUGUCACCACCCCGUGCUCGUCCUGUUUGUUGCGGAACACCCACUUGGUUCCCACAACAUUUUGCUUGGACGAGGCACCAGUGUCCAAACUUCAUUGCGCUUGAAGUUGUUGAGUUCCUCCUGCAUGGCCAAUACCCAAUCCGGAUCUAGCAAGGCCUCCUCUACCCUGAAAGGCUCAAUAGAAGAGACAAAAGAGUAAUGCUCACAAAAUUAACUAAUCGAGAUCGAGUAGUUACUCCCUUGCUAAUAUCACCCAGAAUUUGGUCGACGGAUGAUCCCUUUGAAUCAUCGCUCGAACUUGGUUGGAGGUGCCGGUUGCACUUCUUCCUCCAUCACGUGAUCAUCUUGUGCUCCCCUUGAUCACACGCUUCCUUUUGAUGAACCUGUUCAUCGUCUUGAGUUGGGGAUGCACCGUUGUUGAGGAGAAGGUUGAUCUCGUCCAUCUUGUUCCUGUGGCCGCACUUCUCCAAUCGCCAUGGUUCGUAUAGCGGCCGUUGGAACAUCUUCUUCAUCUACAUCAUCACAAUCAACAACUUGCUCUUGGAGAGCCAUUAGUCUCAUCAAAUACAACGUCGCUAGAGACUUCAACCAAACCCGAUGAUUUGUUGAAGACUCUAUACGCCUUUGUAUUUGAGUCAUAACCUACAAAAACCCUUCUACAGCUUUGGGAGCAAACUUAGAUUUCUACCCUUCUUCACUAGAAUGUAGCAUUUGCUCCCAAAUACACGAAAGUAAGAUACAUUGGUUUGUUACCGGUUAGAGCUCAAGGAUCUUCUUGAGGAGGCGAUGAAGGUAGACCUGUGAUGGCGUGGCAAGCCGUGUUCACGGCUUCGACCGAAACCACUCGGGGGUCUUGAGUUCUCCAAGCAUCGUCCUCGCCAUAUCGAUUAGCGUCCUGUCUUCCUCUCUACCACACCAUUUUGCUGUGGUUUAGGAGCGGAGAACUCGGCUUGAUCCCUUCCUCCUCAAGGAACUCCUCACUUGAAGGUUCUUGAACUCGGACCUUGUCGCUCCUUAUCUUCUUCACCUUGAGCUCAAACUCGUUUUGAGCUCUCCUGAGGAAGCGUUUGAGGGUACCUUGGGUUUCAGACUUAUCCUGCAAAAAGAAUACCCAAGUGAAGCGGGAAAAGUCAUCAACAAUAACUAACCAUACUUACUUCCUCCUAUGCUCAGAUAGGCGACGGGUCCGAAGAGGUCCAUAUGCAGCAGCUCCAGUGGUCUUUGAAGUGGUCAUCACAUUCUUGCUGUGAUGCGCUCCUCCCACUUGUUUACCUGCUUGACAAGCUGCACAAGGUCUAUCUUUUUCGAAUUGUACGUUAGUUAAACCUAUCACGUGUUCUCUCCUUUAGAAGCUUGUGAAGGNNNNNNNNNNNNNNNNNNNNNNNNNNNNNNNNNNNNNNNNNNNNNNNNNNNNNNNNNNNNNNNNNNNNNNNNNNNNNNNNNNNNNNNNNNNNNNNNNNNNCGCAUCAACAAGGCGUUGCCACUUCCAUUAGAUAUCCAGAGAUUUAUGUUUGCGCGCAAUUAGUGAACUAUGUCAGAUCUAAGCAAUGGUGUGGGCAAUGUACCGUACUGUGGUAUUUUGGCCAUUUUGUUCAGUUAACAAUUGUAGGAAGCUUCCUUAUAUGUGCUGUUUUCAGAACAAUGUCAUGCUACUUUGUGUUAGGGGUGUUACCCAGGUUCUUUCUGUGAACUUUAGUUGGCUGGAUACUUAUGGUUAUGUCGCGAAUAUGUGAACAUCAGAUGUUUUCACUUCUGUGUGCUUUAAAUAUGAUCUGUUUUUAUGUUCUGAAGAUGUUAUAUGUAUACCUCAUUGCUUAAUACUACCAUCUGUUUAUAUGCGAUUAUCAUACAGGCCAUAUACGAUGUUUCCUACUUCCCAAUUAUGCAACAUUAGUAAGCAAUAUACGCUCUAUUUAUCAGAUUUCAACAACUUUAUAUCUUAGAUUAUUUGUAUCAGAUACAACAGACUAUUCGCGCGCCUGACUCACUGCUGUCGUUUAUCACAGUACUGGUAUAUAGUUUACAAAUUAUACGAUCAUCCCACAAGUUAUAUACGCUGAUUUGUAGUUCCAGUUACGCAAGAUUAUUAAGCAAUAUACGCACCAUUUAUUAGAUUUCAAUAUCCACCUCUAUAUAAAUCAGUUGCCAAACAAGCAAGGUUUAUUGUAAAAAACAAAUUAAUCGUAUCUCAUACAACAUUCUAAUCACUGUCUGACUCACUACUAUCGAACUCAUUUGUGUGUUUUUUAGAUGUUGUUGUCUCAUUCCAAUCAGGAGCUUUACUGCCACCCUUGUUCCUAGAUCCUGGAGGUCGUCCUCUCUUACGUCCAGCAAGGCUUGCCAACCUUUGUCUAUUUUCCUCCAUUGACAAACAUGUCCUACUGUUGUGACCAUCAGCAAUUCCACACUUCUGACAUUUCCUGGUCAUUUUCUUUGUACUUUAGCUCCCAAUUUAAUAACCCUUUCUUUACUCCCCUUUAUUGUUCUUCCUUUGGGUCUUGAGUUAUUUGGUCUUGCCAAGCUUAUCCCAUCGACUGCAAAUUCCAGUUUCUGCAAUUCAAAAGUAAAUACUUCUCAGCAUAUAAUAUUAUGUAGUCCAACAUACAGUAUUUAUACCAUUAUUACCUUUCUGGCAUUAUCAUUUUGUUCACUGACACCACUAACAUUCAUUAUUGCGUGGUCAUGCAAAUUAAUCUGUAAUUGACAACACAUUUUGUUAAGCUCAAUCAUAACCCAAUAACUCAAACGUAUAAAUCAUGUAUAUGUAUACCUGCAAAUCAGUAAAGUUGUUAAAGAUAUUACCUCUUCUAAUGGACGUACUGGUAUAUGUAUUUGAUCAUUGGCCACACCUUGUUCAAGUAUAAUAGAUACGUCUUGAAUUUCCUGAAAAUUUGGAUGAAAGAUCAUUAUACAUCAUUUACAAAUAAACAUUAACAACAGAACGAUUCAAACCUUGUUAUUCCUUUCGUCAAAUUCAUCAUCCUUUUCGUUGUCUCUAUUGGCUUCAUCAUCGUCCUGAGAUUUUAUUGUUUCACACCUCAUCAAUAUAAUAUGAUUAAUAAUAUGUUACAACAUACAUAUUAAAACAUUACAUACCUGUAUAUCAUCUCCUCCACUAGUUCCACAAGUUUCCUCAACGUCUAUAUCUGUUUCCAAACGCGAAAGUACUUCGAGAAGCUCAUCCAUUACUGUUAGGGCUCUAUCAUUUCCUGCUUUGGAUAAACUAGCAUGAUGCACUACUUUCAUUGCCUUUUUAAGCAACAUCUUCUGUCUAUAUGACUUAGUUUCUCCAUCCUUCCCUUCAAAUUCCUAUCAUCUCUUGAAAACGGAACAUCUUGCCUUGCAGAGGUGGUGUAUCUUUGUAAAAUAUAUUCUUUCAGUAUCCGGUCAAUCUGAAGAUGCAUAAACGCGCGUAGUACAUGUACACAGAAUAGCCCUAUAAAACAAUAAUGAUCUUAAGAUUUUGUUCAUAUGUUUUCAAUGUAUAUAUUUACUUUGUAGUACUCCAUACCUGUAUGUUCCCAAUGUUUGCAUUCACAAGUAUACUUUCCUGCAUCUUCCAUCAGCUGUGACUUUGAAUUGGUGCUGUCCCCAAACAAUUUUAUUCGAUCUAGUUGUAUGUUGCACUACCCAAUCAUGUGCACCCCCUUCUUCGUCAUGCAUUAUCUUGAAUGCGGUGGCAUAUUUCAAAGAUUCCUGGAAUCUACACAUCAUAGCCCUUGUGUAUGCUCUUGCAACCCUUAUCUCAAACAUGUAUAGCGUGUUCGUUUCCUUUUGACCCUGUGGCAUAUAUAAUGCAAAUUAGUUUACACUUAUAUUAAAGUAUCAAUAUACGACAUAACAAUUUAUCCUCACCAUGCUUCCCACUGCUUCUUUUGACUCUUUCAUCUUUCUACUGUGUAGAAGUUUCAUCAUUUGCUUGGCGAAUUGAUGAAGCGGAGUAUUUGCAUCAACAUGUGCACUUUUGACAAGCCUGUUCAUGCUUUCGCUACGCUGUGUAGACAACAUUAGACCACAAUAAUGAUUUUUAAAAAAAGCAGGCACCCAAUCCUUACGUAUUCCAUACAGCUUAUCCAGAGUACUGUUAUCGUGCAGAUCAAAAUCUUCAAGUAGCAUUGACCAUGCAGUCUCAAACUCCAACUCAGUCAAAGGAUGAUGUAUUAUAGAUUGAAACCGUGUCUUAAAGUCCAUUUCCUCAAAUCUUGCAUACAACUCGUUUAGAAAAGGCAUAUACCUAUUUUGCACAUGCCAUAGACAUAAACGAUGUAUUGUGUGCGGGAAAACCCUCUCGAGGGCUACUGGCAUUGCAGGAUCUUGAUCUGCAAACAUAUAUGACACAAUUGUACGAAUCUUAUUCCAUGUUAUAUAAAGAAAAUAAUAUCUAAUUUAAGCCAUAGUUGAUGUAUAUACAUUUAAUUCAUUAUUAUCAGUCGUACCUGUCAGCAUCACUCGUGGACCUUCGGUUCCCAUGCAUGUUUUGAAGGCGUUGAAUACCCAUUCAAUUGUAUCAACAGUUUCAUCCCCCAACAAUGCGAAAGCAAAUAUAGUGCAAUGUAGGUGGUGAUUUGAACCAACAAACAUACCUAGUGGUUUUUCAUACAGAUUAGUCUUAUGUGUUGUGUCAAAUGUAACCGCAUCACCAAAAUCAAUGUAAUCCCCUUGCUGGCUUGCAUGUGACCAAAAUAUGCUUAAAAUCUUGCCUUCUUUAUCCAAUUGGAAGUCAGAGAAAAAUUGUGGAUUAUCCUUUUUGCAGGAUGCAAAAAAGGAUAGUAGCUUUGCCACAUCAUUUGCAUUUCUUUCUCGUUGCUUUGCCUUUUUCCUGAAAUUAUUGUGAGAAUUUAGCAUUAGCAGAAACAACAACCAGCAUAUAUCAUUUAUGUAUAUCAAUCGGAACAUAUCAUAAACUUACAGGUUAUACAUGUCCUGUGCUGUUACAGGCACACUCUCAGGACCACCGUGCAUUUCUGAUACAUAAUCCAUAAUACAAUGUUGCGGGAUUCGACUCUCUUGCAUUGAACUUAUGAACUCCAUGUAUUCAGGAUCAUGCGUCUUGUUGCAUUGUAAUUGAUUCUUUUCGGUAUCCUUUUUAAAAAAUUCAUGAUUAUGAUCCAAGUGCAACAGAUCAAUACGCACUGAUAUAACUGUCUCUUUUGCAUCAUCAUAAAUUUUUUUAAGUUUCAUACCGGCCUUGCAUUGUGUCCGUUUCGAACUGGUACUACGUACCUUUGGGUUUGAUAUUCCCCUUACUGAUCUUUUGCCUUCCAUCGAGCAAUUCAACCACUUACAAUUUUUCCGUUCUCUAUACUUUUUCAAUGGAAAUCCAACUUCAUAUGCAUACCUACUAUAAAAUUUAUAUGCUUCAUCCACCCCACUGAAUGUCAUACCAACUUUAGGUACUAAUCUCGGAUCAAUUGUAACUUCCUGUGCAAAAAAUAUAAAUUGUAUCAUCUAUGGUACCCUACAUAUUUUUAUGUUGUGUGUAGAACAUAACAAUUUUCAGCCAAAAGUUUCACAGUGUAUGCACAAUAUAAAUACUUAAUGUCACACCAUCUCUAGCUGCCUUAUACUGUAUACAAUUCAACGUUCAAUACUGAAAAUUCAAAUCAGUUCAAUAUUACUUACAUGUCUCUGCAGAAUCACUGGUGUGUCUUGUUCAUGAUCACCAAUAGUACGCAUAGUAUUAAGGUGCUGCCCUCCUUCAGUUACUGUCAUCCUUGAUGCCUCAAAUAUGGUCUGUUCAUCAACCCCUGGGGCCCUCAAAGCUGCCGGUGGAGUAAUUGCGUUUACAGCAGUAGCUGAUUCUGUAUGCGUAAUUCCAUCUGACGCUAACUGGUACCCUCCUUGUUCUUCUUCCUGCACCAUUGUUACGAUAUCCAAGCAUUGAUUUUGUCUAUGAACAGACGUCGGCGUCGCAUACUCACUUAUGGUCUUGUUUCCCCAUGGCGCCGCCAUCUUCCAGAUCAAAAUCGCCGUUCACCCAGCAGCGCAAUAUCAAAUGAUGCGUACUCACCACUUCUCUGGAAGAUUAUGAUUUUUUUCCCUAUACCAAACGUAUAUCCAAUAUCGUGGACGCAUAUUUCACGGCGCAUAUCCAUUACCCGCUUAAUUUUAGGAUCGUGGCCGCGCUGAUCGUGGGCGAUCUGUUCGGGGGAGUAACAGACAUCUAUGCAAUGUUAUGAAUACAUUUACGGUGUCGUAACGGUCUGUUUAAAUGCGCUUCCCCCUUUUACGGGUUACACGUCACCGAUCCACGUACGAACACGUCGCCCACGUUGGUUUACGCAUAUUUGUACAAGCAAUUAUACUUGCAUAACUGUACUGCAUUAAAACGGGCCGCCUGGAUCGAUCCAUUCGGUUCGACCACGUUCGGCUCGUCCGGCUGGGGCUCCGCGCACCCAUAUGAAGCCCAGGGCUUCCAUUACCAACGCCCUAUAUAUAUAUAUAUAUAUAUAUAUAUAUAUAUAUAUAUAUAUAUAUAUAUAUAUAUAUAUAUAUAUAUAUAUAUAUAUAUAUAUAUAUAUAUAUAUAUAUAUAUAUAUAUAUAUAUUACACCUGGGUGCAUUCAAUAUAGAGAAUGCACUCAGGCCGAACCUACGCGCCAGGUCCGAGCCAACCGUUCCACCUAGGCCGUCUUCGUCCCUCUCGCACGUCUUCGUCCCUCCCGCACGCUCCCGACAGAACCUUUUCACUUUCCCGCCCACGCCCCUCUUUCUCCACGAAUGGCUCAACCUCUUCACAUAAGUUGCAAUCACACCAGACCAGCAGUUGCAAUUACACCAAGCAGCAGUUGCAAUCACACCAGACCAGCAGUUGCAAUUACACCAGAGAGCAGUUGCAAUCAUUGUUUGUUUAACAGAUUUUUGGACAUAGUUAUAUAGAAGUUGCAAUCGCACCAGACUAGCAGUUGCAAUUACACCAGACCAGCAGUUGCAAUCAUUGUUUGUUUAACAGAUUUUUGGACAUAGUUAUAUAGAAGUUGCAAUCGCACCAGACUAGCAGUUGCAAUUACACCAGACCAGCAGUUGCAAUCAUUGUUUGUUUAACAGAUUUUUGGACAUAGUUAUAUAGAAGUUGCAAUCACACCACACCAGCAGUUGCAAUUACAACACAUCAGCAGUUGCAAUCAUUUUGUUUACAUUUUUUAACAGAUAUUUGGGUAGAAUUAUACAACAGUUGCAAUCACACCUAAUGCGGGGGACAGGGAGGCGCGCGGCGGCACGGAGACAGGGAGGCGCUCGGCGGCGGUGGGGAGAGAGGGUGGCGCGGGGACACGGAGGAACACGGCGGCGGGGGGCAGGGAGGCGCGCAUACAGGAGGGCCGAGGACGUGCUCAGGGUGUUAUUGCAGGUGGGUGCAUUCAAUGUAGAGAAUGCACCCAUGUGCAUAUAUAUAUAUAUAUAUAUAUAUAUAUAUAUAUAUAUAUAUAUAUAUAUAUAUAUAUAUACACUACAUCAUAAGAAUACAGUGAGGGCGUCCACAGGCACCGUGCCCCCGCCCCCGGCUCUCGCUCGCGACCUCCCGCACGUCACGCCAUCCCUCGCUCCCUCUCCCGAUGCCCAAAUUUGCGCCGCAUUGCCGCGCCCGUCCAUCCUUGACCUGUGCUCCUGCCCGCGCCCCCGUCACCCCCUUCUUCCCCCGCACAGGUUCUCUCCCACCGCCACCUCCUUUCCGGCUUCGUCAGGCUGUGGCCGCCACUCUUCCUCCCCGUCGUCGCUCUCUCCGCGAGCCGCCACGUGCGCCCUCACCCUCUCUGCGCGUGAGCCUCAGGGCGUUCUCCAUAGGCAGGUCGCCCUCACGACCCCUCCUCUCCCUCUCUCCGCGCGCUCACAACCCCUCCUCUCCCUCUCUCUCCGCACGCGCCGCUCGUCGCCCACUGCUCUCCCACAUAGGGUUACCCUUCACCCCACAUCCUAUUGUUUGAUCUGAUCUCGUCACGUCCAACAACGAUGGAAACAAGUCGUACUAGCCGUGAUGGGGCCCGAUCGACACCAGCAGCCGGCGGAUGGGAUCGCUGCCCCGCUCUCGCCGUCGUUGCCCCAUUGGUGGAGGCACGGUCAGCACCUGCAACCGGCAGAUGGGAUCUCCGCCCCGCCCCUCGCCGUCGUUGCCCCAUCUGUGGAGCACCUCGUGGCUGGGGUUGUGCCGCCCAUGGCGACCAACCAACUCACCCUCUUUUUCCAUGGCGAGUUGCAUUCCAGGCAGAUGGACUCGCACAGUGUUGGUUCUCUUUGUCUCCCCUAAAAUGGCCCCUCCUCUUCUACCCUCUAUAGAUGUGAACUUGUUUUCUCUGCUUGUAGUCAAUUCAAUUAGCAAAAUUGAUGAGAGCUAUUGGUUUCGUCCGUAGGUCCAAGCCGUGCUUUUGCUGCUUGGAGGGAGAGAGCUGAGCAGGCUGGGUGGAGCAUCGUCCUCUACACCUUAUAGUAAGGUUAGUGUAAUUGAUGUUGAAUCUUAUGUAUAAUGCCCAUUUCAUCAAUCUGAUUACACUGCAUGGUAAUGAUACAUGAAACAUAUUGUGCUUUCUAUUUUUUAUUAAAUAAAGGACUGCACUAUCAUUUGUAGCAUGAUUUAAUUAACAUAUUGUCCUAUGAUUCACAACUUUUGUAGCAUGAUUUUAUUCAUACAGUUCAUUUUUUCUUGUUCAGUAGUCAGCACGUUGGUCUAAAAUUCCAGUUUCAGUAAAGUUGCAUUGCCUCAUUUAUUUGAUCUCUACAUCAAUACUUCGCUGAUUUACAUAUCACCAUGAUAUAGCUUGAAUUUUAAACAUCUUAACAGGUAUAUGCAUGUACAUAAUGUUGGAAUACUUGUUGAACUGAAAUUGAAAACUGAAUACUUGUAGCAGCUGUUCUGUUCGCCUUAUCACUAGGAAAGCAGUACACUGGAUGGGAGCAUGUUUCUGAUCGACAGCUAAUUAUUUGGCUUCAGUUGAGUAUUACGAUUAUUUACAGUAUCAGAUGGAAAUACUAGAUGGGAAUGGAUGUUUCUAACAGUCUGUUAACCCUCCUCUUCAGUUCAAGAUUGUGAUGAUUUGUAGUACUAAAUUGGAGGCUUCGAUCCCCUGCAAUUUAUGUGGUACAAGUAAGGGUUUUGUGUGAGAAGGCGAAUGAGAUUCUAAUGGAGGAAAGAAAUGUUCAGGUUUGCUAUUUUGAUCACUUUGAAUUAAUAUUACCAGCAAUUCCAUUCUAUGACCAUUUGAGAUAUCUUGUUUGGGUCUGCUUAACAUUAAUUCAAACUAACGGUUAGCAGCUAAAAUUAGCUGAGUGGUUCAGAACAGACCAGCCAAUAAACCAUAUAAUUGUUAGUUAUAUCUCUUAAAUUAGCUGAGUUUUUUUUUGACAUAUCUGUGGUUCUCUUCUUCUUCAGUGUUCUGACGUUCUGUCAUACAACGUAGCGGUAUGUAACGUAUCUGCCCGCCGUCUCGCUGGGCCUGAUGAUCUUCACGACCUGGCCUCGCCUGAGGCCGUAGUAUCUAGCAAUUGGAUCCAUGAUCUGUAUUCUAGGAAGCUGUUGGUCCGAUAUGCAUUCAGAAAAAAAGAAAAGGAAGGGUUACAGACUUCAAGGGAUGUAUAUUGCUUGGAAUGCACGGCAAAAAUGCACAGAGACUGUCAUAAAACUGGUCUGUUCUGUUGUUAAGAGUGCAGAGAAUGAUGUCAUCAUCUGACGGCCUGACCCUUGUAUUUGCUGCCUCUUUCUUUCUCGGAAGAGAUAAUAGUGAUCACUUUGGCCUGUGAACAUGUGAUAAGCUCCUAAACACUGCUCUUGCGUGAAACUAACUCCACCCAAGAAAGUUCUAGACUUGUUUAGAGCUCGACACCUCCAAAUGGAAAUGCAUUUCCUAACAAAUCUAACUAUACUUAUUUAGGCCCAUUCCAAACCUCUACAGUUAAUUAUUAGUCAACUAAUAAGUUAUUUGGCUGGUUUUAGCUGGGUUAGAGCAGAUAACAACUGUUAUAUAGCUAUUUAAGAGAUAUAACUAACAAUUAUAUGGUUUAUUGGCUGGUCUGUUCUGAACCACUCAGCUAAUUUUAGCUGCUAACCGUUAGUUUGAGGUUUGGAACACGACCUUAGUAUAAAAAAACAAUAAUAUAUUUUCAUAUCUGUACUUGUUUCGACUAAAUGAUUUCUGUAACUGUUUUCAGAACUGGAGAAGCACAUUGAAGACAUGCAUGUCCUGAUUACCACCCCAUUCCACCCAGCUUAUGUCACUGCAGAGAGGAUAAAGAAGGCGAAGAAUCUUGAGCUUCUUCUCACGGCAGGAAUCGGCUCCGAUCAUAUUGAUCUUCCAGCAGCUGCUGCUGCGGGCUUAACUGUGGCUGAGGUCACUGGAAGCAACACUGUCUCUGUGGCAGAAGAUGAGCUCUUGCGCAUUCUGAUUCUGCUCAGGAACUUCUUGCCUGGGUACCAACAGGUAGUUCAAGGCGAAUGGAACGUAGCAGGCAUUGCCCACAAAGCUUAUGAUCUUGAAGGAAAAACUGUUGGGACUGUUGGGGCUGGUCGUAUUGGCAGGCUCUUGCUUCAGCGUCUUAAGCCCUUUAACUGCAACCUACUUUACCAUGAUAGACUUCAGAUUGACCCAGAGCUUGAGAAAGAAAUUGGGGCCAAAUUUGAGGAGGACCUGGAUGCUAUGCUUCCAAAGUGUGAUGUGAUUGUGAUCAACACACCUCUUACGGAGAAAACAAGGUUUGUAUUCAUCAUGUACCUGACAUUUCCAAAAUAGUUUGACAGUAUUUUCUGAGUUUUGUUUGCUGUUUUUUUUUCAGAGGCAUGUUUAACAAAGAGAGGAUUGCAAAGAUGAAGAAAGGUGUAAUUGUUGUGAAUAAUGCUCGAGGAGCAAUCAUGGAUGCUCGAGCAGUCGCAGAUGCAUGUUCUAGCGGUCACAUUGCUGGUACUUACUACGUUAAUAUGUUUUCUUUGUCUCUUUACACAACAAUAUUGCUACAUAAGUUAGUCUGAUUCUACUGAAGGGGUCCAUGAAUUAAUAUUAUUUUCCUUAAGCUUGGCAUGCUUUGUAUUCCGUGGCUUCAGUACGAAAACUUCAAAUGAGCCGUUUUGCUUUCCUGAAAAGACACCCUGCCUACAUUUUAUCUGAAGAAUAGGGAAAUAAUGCGACUAUAUUCCUACAUUGACCGGUACUUUGUGUAACAUGGAGCAUCUCAUUCCCAUUUCUCAGGAUAUGGUGGUGAUGUGUGGUUCCCACAGCCAGCACCAAAGGAUCACCCCUGGCGCUACAUGCCUAACCAUGCCAUGACCCCUCACAUCUCUGGGACUACAAUUGAUGAGCAGGUCAGGUUCUGAGUUUUGUUACCUGAGUUUGAAAAUCUAUCUAAUUCUAAUACCUCAUAGGACACUAGGUCUCUGCUUCAUGCAUUAGCAGAACUCAAUAGAAUGGCAAUCACCUUAAGGCUUUACUGGAUUAAAAUCGUACUGAGAACUGGAAUAAUUAGCUAAUAGUGUGUAUGUGUACCUUGAGUCCUUGACGACAUGUACACUGAUAGCGCAUUUUUCAUGAUGAGUAUUUGCUAUUCGUUCUCGUGCAUGCUGCUGACUAUUGCGGGCAAACAAACAAUUCAUACAGCUGCGGUAUGCGGAUGGUGUGAGGGACAUGCUGGAUAGGUAUUUCAAGGGCGAGGACUUCCCGGUGCAGAACUACAUCGUCAAGGAAGGCCAGCUCGCCAGUCAGUACCAGUGACCGCGCGAGAUGUUGCUGUGCUGUGUAGGCUUUUCUGGUGAGAAGUUGCGAGGAAGAAACUCCUGUUGCGUACUUGUGUUACUGUAUGAGUAGCUCUGAGAAAUCUGUCAGCGGCCACCUGUAAUAAAAGAAUGCCUUGCUGGUAUCUCACCGUGGAGAUCAAUAAGUCCCUUUUUUCCUUCUCUGUUCACUGAACUGCAUGCACUGUCUUUUUUCGGCUGCGACAACGCAAAUGGCAACGAACUGCAUGCGUUAUGCCAUUUGUCACAUGUUUGGUUCAACACGCACGUGGUAAUGAAAUCAGGUUGCACUGUAACCAGAGAUGGGAUCAGAGUGCCUCCGGCGGGGUAACCUGUUUUCAAAGAGAGAAAAAACCUAAUGCGGCACAGAAAUGGCCUAGCAAGGAUUCUAAUGCUUAGCUUCUGUUUCCAUAUCAAGUUUAUGUCAUAAUUACUUUUUUAAACUGUUGGAUUUAUUUUGGAAAUUAGGGUGUGUUCAUUUCUGUGUCGCAUUCAUGGUUCCAAAUUGAUUUGGGUUUGGUGUUCAUUUAUCUUUGCAUGUGUUGCAGUGAAGGAGGAAUGGGUGGAGGGACGAGCAAGAUGGCAACGU
rnacentral:lncRNA from 1 species